AUUGAACGCUGGCGGCAGGCCUAACACAUGCAAGUCGAGCGGAUGAAGGGAGCUUGCUCCUGGAUUCAGCGGCGGACGGGUGAGUAAUGCCUAGGAAUCUGCCUGGUAGUGGGGGAUAACGUCCGGAAACGGGCGCUAAUACCGCAUACGUCCUGAGGGAGAAAGUGGGGGAUCUUCGGACCUCACGCUAUCAGAUGAGCCUAGGUCGGAUUAGCUAGUUGGUGGGGUAAAGGCCUACCAAGGCGACGAUCCGUAACGGGUCUGAGAGGAUGAUCAGUCACACUGGAACUGAGACACGGUCCAGACUCCUACGGGAGGCAGCAGUGGGGAAUAUUGGACAAAGGGCGAAAGCCUGAUCCAGCAAUGCCGCGUGUGUGAAGAAGGUCUUCGGAUUGUAAAGCACUUUAAGUUGGGAGGAAGGGCAGUAAGUUAAUACCUUGCUGUUUUGACGUUACCAACAGAAUAAGCACCGGCUAACUUCGUG
rnacentral:rRNA from 1 species